AUUGAACGCUGGCGGCAUGCCUUACACAUGCAAGUCGAACGGUAGAGUAGCAAUACUUGAGAGUGGCGAACGGGUGAGUAAUAUAUCGGAACGUGCCCAGUCGUGGGGGAUAGCGUAGAGAAAUUUACGCUAAUACCGCAUACGAUCUAAGGAUGAAAGCGGGGGAUUCGCAAGAACCUCGCGCGAUUGGAGCGGCUGAUAUCAGAUUAGGUUGUUGGUGAGGUAAAAGCUCACCAAGCCGACGAUCUGUAGCUGGUUUGAGAGAACGACCAGCCACACUGGGACUGAGACACGGCCCAGACUCCUACGGGAGGCAGCAGUGGGGGAAUUUUUGGACAAUGGGCGAAAGACCUGAUCCAGCAAUGCCGCGUGCAGGAAGAAGGCCUC
rnacentral:rRNA from 1 species